AGGGCAGAGCGGACGGCACUUGGGACCCGCGACUCGCGGCACGCCACUCUCCCGGAGGCGGUGGCUAGAUGGGGCUGGGCUGGCGGCUAGCACGGCCUGUGGCGCGACGACCGCUGUAUUUGCAUGGUUCGCAUAGGCAGAGAACCGUGGGGCUUCGGCAGUGGGAAUUUGAGAUAGGAGAUUGGGGUCUUCCGAGCCUUCCCAGUGCGGGUUCGAACCUCAGCUGUUUUGCGAGUGGCGUGAUCUUAGGCAAAGCUGACUUAACCUAAGUUUCGGUCGUGUUUCUAAAAUGGCCUCUGUAAAUCUAUGAGGCUUAUGCGCGAGUACUGGUUGCUGCAUUAAAAGACAAACUUGUCACGAUUGGCUUUGAUAGCGAUAAAGGCGACUAACAAAUUCAUUGAAAUGUUGUUUCCCUCCGGUAACCUGAAUCUGUCCUUAGCCUGCACAGAAAGGGGAAGUGCGAGUGGAGUUGGGGAAAUGAGACGGCGAAUGUCAAGUGCUUACCACGUAGUGCAGACUCAGGCUGACAGGGGGCCACAGAAAUGCAAAUAUGUGAGCAGUGUGGGUAACUGCAUCCUGGGGAGGAAGUCCUAUGUGCUGGAAUACCACAAGCACCCAUUUCUGCCCUGUGGUACUGCGCAGCGUUGGUGUGAAGCGAUACAUAGGCGUGAAGUCCCGAGAACGCAAUUUUCCUGGUUAAAGGACAGCAACGUCUACAUUUCUUCCAAGAGGCCUACUUUGUUGGAACUUCACUUCACUUGUGAAAUUAGGGUGUUGGGCAGUGAGUGACCACUAACUCAGCUCCCUUCUUGUGAAUCUUGGCAACAGAAAACUUUUCGUUUGUAUUACUGAAUAAAGUGUGUUUCUUACAAA
rnacentral:lncRNA from 1 species